UUGGAUAGUUUCAGCCUGUAGCCACAUUAGAAGGGCAUACUGGACCUGUCACUGCUCUAGACGCCCUCUACUGUCACAACAUGGAGCCUGGAUUCUGUACAACAUUGAUUGCUACAGCCUCCUCAGAUUCCACAGUAAGAAUAUGGCAACGUGAAGAAGGGGGUUUCCAGUAUCAGCAAAGUAUUCCAUUUGGCAGUGGUUUUGCUCUUGAUGUUAGCCUAGCUGUGUUACCAGGAACAGCAGGUAAUGUUUUGCUGUUGAUGUUAGCCUAGCUGUGUUACCUGGAACAGCAGGUAAUGUUUUGCUGUUGAUGUUAGCCUAGCUGUGUUACCAGGAACAGCAGUUCCAGUGUUGGCAUGUGGUGCAGAUGAUCACAAGAUUCACCUGUUUGUACUGCAACAUGGACAGUUCCAGAGGAGCCAAAGCUUACCUGGUCAUGAGGACUGGGUACAAGGAGUAGAGUUUUCACACAAUGGUAGGUAUGGCUGUGAAGAGUUCAGGUUACAGUUAGAGAAGUCAGAGGUUGUCUAGUCAUGAGGACUGGGUACGAGGAGUAGAAUUUACACACAAUGGUAGGUAUGGCUGUGAAGAGUUCAGGUUACAGUUAAAGAAGUCAGAGGUUGUCUAGUCAUGAGGACUGAAUACAAGGAAUGGAGUUUACACACAAUGGUAGGUAUGGCUGUGAAGUGUUCAGGUUACAGUAAAAGAAGUCAGAGGUUGUCUAGUCAUGAGAACUGAGUACAAGGAAUGGGGUUUAUACACAAUGGUAGGUAUGGCUGUGAAGUUUUAAUGUUACAGUUAGGCCACACUUUUUAUGUACAGACACAGAUGUGUCUGUACAU